UACGUAGGGUGCGAGCGUUAAUCGGAAUUACUGGGCGUAAAGCGUGCGCAGGCGGUUUUGUAAGCCAGAUGUGAAAGCCCCGGGCUCAACCUGGGAAUGGCAUUUGGGACUGCAAGGCUGGAGUGUGGCAGAGGAGACUGGAAUUCCUGGCGUAGCAGUGAAAUGCGUAGAUAUCAGGAGGAACACCGGUGGCGAAGGCGGGUCUCUGGGCCGAUACUGACGCUGAGGAGCGAAAGCGUGGGGAGCGAACAGG
rnacentral:rRNA from 1 species